AACGAACGCUGGCGGCAUGCCUAACACAUGCAAGUCGAACGAACCCUUCGGGGUUAGUGGCGCACGGGUGCGUAACGCGUGGGAAUCUGCCCUUUGCUUCGGAAUAACAGUUAGAAAUGACUGCUAAUACCGGAUGAUGUCUUCGGACCAAAGAUUUAUCGGCAAAGGAUGAGCCCGCGUAGGAUUAGGUAGUUGGUGGGGUAAAGGCCUACCAAGCCGACGAUCCUUAGCUGGUCUGAGAGGAUGAUCAGCCACACUGGGACUGAGACACGGCCCAGACUCCUACGGGAGGCAGCAGUGGGGAAUAUUGGACAAUGGGCGCAAGCCCUGAUCCCAGCAAAUGCCGCGUGAAGUGAAUGAAAGGCCCUUCCGGGGUU
rnacentral:rRNA from 1 species